GCCUGGGUGGCUCAGUGGGUUGAGCAUCUGACUUUGGCUCAGGUCAUGAUCUCACAGUUCAUGAGUUCGAGGCCCACACCAGGCC
rnacentral:tRNA from 1 species